rnacentral:rRNA from 1 species
GGCUCAUUAAAUCACACCUAAUCUACUGGAUAGAAAAAAGUUACUUGGAUAACUGCGGUAAUUCUGGAGCUAAUACAUGCACAAAGCCUCAACCUUACGGGAGAGGCGCUUUUAUUAGAUCAAAACCAAACGGCUUCGGCUGUACUCUUGGUGACUCUGAAUAACUUUGGGCUGAUCGCAUAGCCUUGAGCUGGCGACAUAUCCUUCGAAGGUGUGCCCUAUCAACUGUCGACUGUGGCAUAGACGCCCACAGUGGUUUUGACGGGUAACGGGGAAUCAGGGUUCGAUUCCGGAGAGGGAGCCUUAAAAACGGCUACCACAUCUAAGGAAGGCAGCAGGCACGCAAAUUACCCAAUGACCGAAGGUCGAGGUAGUGACGAAAAAUAACGAUAGAGGACUCAUCCGAGGCCCUCUAAUUGGAAUGAUUACACUUUAAAACCGUCUCAGAGGAUCUAUUGGAGGGCAAGUCUGGUGCCAGCAGCCGCGGUAAUUCCAGCUCCAAUAGCGUAUAUUAAAGUUGUUGUGGUUAAAAAGCUCGUAGUUGGAUCUCAACAGUCUUGAAGCGGUCACUUUGUGUUGUACUGCUUUGUAGACUGUGCUUUUGCUGGAGGUUUAGGGGUGCUCUUAAUCGAGUGUCUCUGGAUGCCAGCAGGUUUACUUUGAAAAAAUUAGAGUGCUCAAAGCAGGCUAAAAUGCCUGAAUAUUCGUGCAUGGAAUAAUAGAAUAGGAUGUCGAUCCUAUUUUGUUGGUUUUCGGGACUUGACAUAAUGAUUAAUAGGGACAGUCGGGGGCAUUUGUAUUCAAACGACAGAGGUGAAAUUCUUGGACCGUUUGAAGACAAACUACUGCGAAAGCAUUUGCCAAGAAUGUUUUCAUUAAUCAAGAACGAAAGUUAGAGGUUCGAAGGCGAUUAGAUACCGCCCUAGUUCUAACCAUAAACGAUGCCAGCUAGCGAUCUGCCGCUGUUUUUACUGUAGACUCGGCAGGAAGCUUCCGGGAAACCAAAGCAUUUGGGUUCCAGGGGAAGUAUGGUUGCAAAGCUGAAACUUAAAGGAAUUGACGGAAGGGCACCACCAGGAGUGGAGCCUGUGGCUUAAUUUGACUCAACACGGGAAAUCUCACCAGGCCCGGACACUGGAAGGAUUGACAGAUUGAUAGCUCUUUCUUGAUUCGGUGGGUGGUGGUGCAUGGCCGUUCUUAGUUGGUGGAGUGAUUUGUCUGGUUAAUUCCGAUAACGAACGAGACUCUGUCCUGCUAAAUAGUGUCUACUUCUCUUUUGAGUAGACAAUUCUUCUUAGAGGGACUGGCAACUCUUAGUUGCACGAGAUUGAGCAAUAACAGGUCUGUGAUGCCCUUAGAUGUUCUGGGCCGCACACGCGCUACACUGAAUAGAUCAGCGUGUCACCCUUCGCGAAAGCGACGGGUAAACCGCUGAACCCUAUUCGUGGUAGGGAUCGGGGCUUGCAAUUAUUCCCCGUGAACCAGGAAUUCCCAGUAGGCGCAAGUCAUAAGCUUGCGUCGAUUACGUCCCUGCCCUUUGUACACACCGCCCGUCGCUACUACCGAUUGAACGUUUU